rnacentral:misc_RNA from 1 species
GGAAUGUAGAGCAUCAUCCUGUACAUGGUAGGGCUGUCGGAAAAAGACGAGAUUCAAGAAGACAAAGUAGGGAAAUUCCUUUGUUUCCACCGUGUGGACUUGUUAGAACUGUAGUAGUUGCAAGAUUGAUGAGGAUUGCUGUUGGGUACAUUUUGGCCUAUCUAAAAAGGGUGUUAACGAGAGGCCUUUCAAUAUGGUUAAAUGCACUAGGGAUGAGCUACAGACGGUCUCCACCAAAUUGUUAGGAAAGGCUUGUGGAAAUCUGAAUGGCAUGGAGGCUAGAGCUGAAUAUCUCUCAGAUCAUGCAUCAUUCUCGAGCUUCUCAUCUAAAGUGUAGUAAUGCAGGGAUCUUGAUUCUUAAGCUCAGCCUCUUUGUUUAGUUGUAUACAAAUGAUAUUGAAACAAACCUUCUCUUCAAAUAUCCUCCACAGAUUGUAUGCACCGUUGGUGGUUGCAAUUUAGGAGAGCAAGCUUUGGCAGACAGAUUACCUAUUAACCGUGCUGGUAAAUUGUAG